rnacentral:rRNA from 1 species
GACGAACGCUGGCGGCGGGCUUAACACAUGCAAGUCGAACGAGUGGCGAACGGGGGAGUGAUACGUGGGUAACACGGCCUCUUGUGGGGAUAAGCCUUUGAAACGGGGUCUAAUAACGAAUAAAGGGGGAUGGGCGCGCGGCCUAUCGGUUUGUUGGGGGGGUGAUGGACUACCAAGGCGGUGACGGGUAGCCGGGCUGGGAGGGUGACCGGCGACAUUGAGACUGGGCUGACGCCUAGGCUCGUCCGGGGGGCAGCAGUGGGCGCUAGGGCACAAUGGGCGAAAGACUGAUGCCGCGACGCCGCGGGGGGGAUGAAGGUUUUCGGGUUGUAACCCUCUUUCGCGAGCGAACGGGUAGGUGGAGAAGAAGCGCCGGCUAACUACGUGCCAGCAGCCGCGGUAAUAC